GAUUUGGCACAGCAGAGAAGGGGUUCAUCGUGCCACUGACAGAUGCUAGGGCAUCGUCUCUGGCCUCGGUGGCGUCUUCCGUUGGCCCUGCUGCCAUGCGGCAGUGGUGCUGUUUGGAAUCGGCUACAAAACAGCCAAGGGGCUUGCCAACCACAAGGGUCAACUUGGAGCUCCUCUCUACCCCUGCAGGUGAUUAAUCUUGCUGUGGCAGACACCGGGGGAGCACUAGCGGAUGUGUUCCCUCUCAAAGCAGUACACCCGCUGCUCCAGCACCUUCUUUUGCUAUGUCAAGUAGUCCACAUCAAGGACCUUGCUGUCAACUUCCAUGGGAUUGGGCCUUGCUUAGACGCCAUGUAUUCCAUUCGAUUCGCUUGGCGUGAUGGACAGCAGCAGCAUGGACUCGGUACAGCAGAGGACAAGGGCUACAUUUCAUCGUGCCAGUGCCAGGCAUGGUGCGCGGCUGUCGUGCGACGGAGGUGGUGCCAUUCAGCAUCGGCUACAAAAUCGCCAUGGAUUGGGUACAGCAGAGGAGAAGGGGUUCAUCGUGCCACCGACAGAUGCUAGGGCUUCAUCGCCGGCCUCGGUGGCGUCUUCUGUUGGCCCUGCUGACGUGCUGCAGCGGAGCUGUUUGGCAUUAGCUAAAACAACCAAGUACUAGCGGACGGGUUCCCUCUCAGAGCAGUACACCUGCUGCUUCAGCACCUUCUGCUCCGUCAGGUUGUUGUUGCUCUCAGUGGGACACCCAACACCACUAGCGAGCGACUCCCUUGCUAGCGGCGCUGUUGCUGGGCACAACUUUGGCCGGUCAAGAAGCUCUACAUGCUCCAACGGGCCGCUCACUCGGACGGCGCUGCUGGUUCCUCUAUCUCUAUCACUCUUUCAUGUUAUGUGUCCAUGGCAAUCGAGACAUGGUAAAUUUGUGCUAGCCAUUGUGUCAUGGUGAUUUCUAGGGAUUAUUGUGGUGCACCUGCAAUGACUAAAUAGCAGCCCAAAUUCUAAUUUUCUUGCUGCUGCUUUGUGGCGCACUAGUCGUAGCAGCAGCACUUGAAGUGCAAGUCUUGUGGUAGCUAGCACAACACAGCCAGUGGUGGUGUUCUAGUAGGAGUUGCAGUUUUGCAAAUGUCUUUUCACGUCCUAUGAAUUAUAUGCUUGAGAAAUAUAAAGCAUGUGCUGGCUGUUAUGUUUGUAGAGAAGAGGUACUUGAAUCGCUGAAAUUGGAGUCAUGGUCUGUUGUCUGGAGCCAAAAUAUAUACUACACUGUUGCUGCAAUUUUCUAUGAAAAGAUGGUUUCUGGUGGACAAGUUCUUGCGUCCUAAAAUUUGGGAUGCCCAUCAACAAGUGGGCCUGUUGCCCUCCGAGACGCAUAAAGGGAUUAUUCCUUCUUCCACGGAAUCGAGUGAUUGUUCUGUGCUGUUUGGGAGCUAGGCCAAGGAGAACCUGCUCUGAUUCGAUCUGCUCAACAUUACCCCCAUCUCUUCAUUUCCAAGGCGCUCGACUUCAUGGAGGAGGACGACGACCGGGACCCCAAGCCCAAGCCGAUUACCUUUACCUAGACUCCGCAUACAAGGCAAAUGAUGUGCCAACUUCCAACGAUUGAUGUUAGCUAGUGAAAGACUCACUUUUCUGCUAAUGGCUACUUGCGUCGUUUUGCUGGACUCACUUGGCUUGCAGGCGCCCGGCUCCAUGGACGAGGAUGAUUGGGAACCCAUGUCCAAGCCGACAUCCUGACAUCGACUAUCCACACACAAGAGCAGCAGACGCCUUCCACUUCCAUGGAUGACAUCGACGACGUAGACGUGCGCCCAAACUGAGGAAAUGUCGAGUCCGACCUCAACCUCUACUAUGAGGUUGCCCAAAACGGCUCGCCAUAGAAGCUGGCUUGCUCGUGGUGGAUCCUGGAGUGCCUUUGUCGGUUCAUCGCCAUCAUGGGAGACAUCAGGUCUGCUCUCCUCGGAUGUUGUCUCUGCCUCGGUAUGAGAGCGCUGGCGAGGAGCUCACGGUGCUUCCCAGGCACAGCAAGGUUGUUGUUAACGGAUCUAAAGAAUGGUGUGGAGGUGAAGCUGCAGAGGAUUGCCCUGAGUGUCUUGAAAGCUCCACCUGGUAACAAGGACGACGACGUGAUCGAUGGUCAUUCUGCGGUAGCUUCAACAUGGGAGAGAAAGACAUAAAUUAGUCGAGCAUUGAGUACGAGAAGCCAACAAAGCCAAGGUUACGGUACACAAGACCAUGGUCAUCCUACAGGACGAUGUCCUGCAGCCAGGCCAAUUUUGACUCAACUUGGAAGCUGCGAGCGGUAAUCACUGUUGCCAUCCCGGCAACUAAUCAUGACACGGCAAGUAAUUACGUCUGUAAGAUGAAUGAGAUUGGGCGAGUGCAGUCAAGUCAUUCUCAUUGUCAUUGUGUUUGUUAGAGAGUGAACCUGACACCCACACUAUGGAGAUACUGGAAGCACUUGAACCUUGUGCCACUCCAUCGGAGGGGCUCUUCCAUGGGGCCCAGCCGCAUUUCCUUGAGAAAUAUCCAUGUGGGAGGGAGGGAGCAUCCAGCAGACCUUAUUGUUGUACUCUGCAACUUGCACUAGAGAAGAGAAGAAAAGAGAAGAGAAGGCUGGCAGACUUGAUUUGACGAGCCGUCGCUGUAUCUUGCUGUUUUGCUGUAUCUUUUUGGCCCAGGAGCAAGGGACAUGAUCCUUGUAUCUGUCUGCGCACCACAAAUCUUGUUGGCUGCACAAGCAAAGCUCUUCCUAAGUAGAUCCAAACUCUAUGGACUUUAGUCUUGUAAGUGAAGUGGAUAGCGUGGAUAGAUUGUUGUCAAGUGAUUAACUAUGGCUUAAUUGUACAUCUGAUGAUGAAUGGCGGGGUUGUUAUAAUGAAUGGCAUGUCGCUUUUUAA